rnacentral:rRNA from 1 species
GAUGAACGCUGGCGGCGUGCUUAACACAUGCAAGUCGAACGGUGAACGAGGGAGCUUGCUCCCUCCGGAUCAGUGGCGAACGGGUGAGUAACACGUGAGCAAUCUGCCCUGGACUCUGGGAUAAGCGUUGGAAACGACGUCUAAUACCGGAUACGACCACCGGCCGCAUGGUCUGGUGGUGGAAAGAUUUAUCGGCUGAGGAUGGGCCCGCGGCCUAUCAGCUUGUUGGUGGGGUAGUGGCCUACCAAGGCGACGACGGGUAGCCGGCCUGAGAGGGUGACCGGCCACACUGGGACUGAGACACGGCCCAGACUCCUACGGGAGGCAGCAGUGGGGAAUAUUGCGCAAUGGGCGGAAGCCUGACGCAGCGACGCCGCGUGGGGGAUGACGGCCUUCGGGUUGUAAACCUCUUUCAGCAGGGACGAAGCGAAAGUGACGGUACCUGCAGAAGAAGCACCGGCCAACUACGUGCCAGCCGCCGCAGUAAAAC